CAGCUUUCAGGAAGAUGUAUUUGGCAAGUAUCCACAGAAGGAGACUUCUAAGGGAAAGUUAUUGCUCUCUUAGAUGCCUGCAAGAAAAGCUUGCAGAAGGCAGUGAGUGAAGGAAGGGAGCAGCACUUUGCACUUUAAGAGGGUGGAAUUGCCAGGUCAUGGCCUGAACCAAUGGUUGAGCACCAGGCAAGAAGGCAUGGCUAACCCAGGGAGCUCAGGUGCAAGCAAUGCACUCCUCCUGAGCUGUCACUUGCUGUCAGAAAGGGAGAGGUGCUCCAGCCCUCAUCGUCUUAGUGGCCCUCCUCUGGACCCAUUCCAAGAGCUCCACGUCCUUCCUCUACUGGUGGCCCCAGGCCUGGACACAGUACUGCAGAUGGGAC
ensembl:lncRNA